CCUCCUCCUCUCCCUUCCGGGGCUGGUGGAGGGAGGCACUGAGCCAGCCUUCCUGGCAGAGGUUGCCCUCGAUGGAGACCAGCACAAGGGUGGGUUCUUCCAAACGUCACGCUUCCUCCCCACCAGGCGUUUGGAGAACAUGAUGGGGUCUUGCUAAAUUCCCCAGAUGGACCUGGAAGUUGACAUCCUCCUGCCUCAGCUUCCAGAAGUGCUGGAAUUACAGGCAUGCACCACCACGCCCAGCUAGACUUUCUUAAUUACACUGCUGCUUACUGACCAGUGGCGUUCACUGAGUAGGCACCUGCUGGAUGCCUGCUGUGCCCAGUUGGGAGGGCCGGGGACGCAGCCACAGCGGGUUCUGUCCCGGAACCAAUUGCUCGCCCUCAUGGAAGUCAGAGUCCCAGCCGAAGCAUCUUGGUGACUCUCAGCUGUCGG
rnacentral:lncRNA from 1 species